rnacentral:lncRNA from 1 species
UUGAACAAACUUUUCCCAGGUUUCCUCCCCAACCAAGAAGGUAAGGACUACACACCCCCACCGGUUACUUCUACAUCCGAAUCUCGGGACGAGAUUCUUUUUAAGGGGGGUAGGCUGUAAUGACCUCGGUUAAAAUCCUUCACGUUAAUCUUAAUCCGAGUCCCUGAUCCCCAUCCCAGCCUUCCCGAGUUUAAGUACUCAACCUCCAGCCCCGGUUCCGACCCUGGAGAUCCGACCCC